AACAAGGCGCCAUUUCUGCAGAGACGCGCUGCCGCACCUAAAUUUUUACUCCUCGGGGAGCUCCCUGUCCCCCGAGAGAUCCAAUUUUAACCCCUCCUGUGCGCGGGUCUCGGCCCGGCAGGCCAUGCACCUCUCUCUGUGCCGUAAAUAAUUCAUCUGUGAGGCCUCGACGGAAUACUGUAUUUCAAAGAGGAAACUUAGAAAAUACUCGAAGCUGUGCGGGGGGGGAAGAGCUCCCUUCCGAGGAGUUUGUGCUUUGAACCAAAUCAUCUGACCAGACGUGGAAACCCAUUGCGGCAGUGCAGCUCAUGGGCGGCAACCCAGCCGUGCACCCCCAGCACGGACGUGCGGCCCAUUUUGCGAGCCCGCUAAGCACCGAGGCCGGUGAUUAGCCGCCCUCGAGAAUCCACCGGGUGCUCUUUAAGGACCUAAAACCACAAGCCCGCCGUGGCUGCCGCGCAGGCGAUGCAUUACGGCUGAUGGCUUUGCCGUCACGGUGCUCGCGAGUCGCUGCACGCCGGCUCCCAUGCCAGCAGGUGCCGGGCACAGCGCCCCGUGGUGGGAUGGGUCCUCCCCGGCACCCUAUCCACUCCGUCUCCCUGCGUCAGAAUAUUUGAGUGGCAAUUUUUCGGUGGUAUGGGGUCCUCUCUGUUUUCUCCGGCCGUGCUCAACCGUGUCCACCGUUCUUAGAAGCUGUAUCCUAAUGACUGGCUUCAUGUAGUGUUACCACCUCUUUGACCAUAGCCCAACGCUAACACCAAUCACACACAUUGGGUGGCCACUUCUGAGGUACAAAAAAACUAGGAUAUACAAGAUCCUCGCAAUGCUAGAACAGGGGCGAACUACGUUGCGACCGCAUCGUCCCGAGUGGUGCAUCAUUGCUAUUGCGCAACUGGCAAUUGUGAGGUUAUUUAAUGUUCCCGACAGUCUCACAGAUUUUUCAGGAACACUGCCUCACUCAAUAAGAAGACCAUCCUGGGGAAAACCAGGACAGGUGGCAACCCUGGCUCCUCAUCGUGGUGGUGGUGGUGGCGGCACGUGUUUCGAGGGAACCCCCACCAGUGAAGCGAGCGCUAGGCCCUGUGUGGGCCACGCCAUCAGAACCGAGCGGCUUGCCGCGUCUCCCGGCCACGCGCCUCCACUGUUCAGCCACUUGCCGUUGGCACAACGCUAGUCCCGUUCGGCUUUUGGAGGAGGAAUUGGCGUGACCGUGACCAAUAAAAAAGCUUGUUAUGGGGUACAGCUUAUGGAAGUUACACAAGCCACUAUCAGUGUGAUGGCGAGAAUGCCUCAAGUCAGCGCAUAUGUGUGUGUGUGUUGAGUUUUUUAUAUUAAAUAAAAUGUGAUCAUGAGCUUUUGUCAUGGUUUAUGAAAGCAGGAGUUACACAAGCCACCUACAAUGUAAAUAGUGUAUGCAUGAAGAUACCAUUAAUUAUUAUUCGUAUGGCUUAUGGAAGUCUGUUACGGAAGGCACUGUGUGCAUUUGUUGUCUUGCUAAUUGAUGAAUAUUUGAACUGGUCCUGAGCUCACCACUAGGUCGUGGCAGGCUUAAAUGAGUACCUCGUAUAGUGCGUAAAAAUCACCAGGGGGGGGAGACAAAGGCGGCCAUGAGUGGUGUUGGCACCCACUCCCUCGUGUGCUGUGCCGUCUUUCAUAGGUGCUCGCUUACAGCACUUGCCCUAACAGUCUGUUGAGGUUCAAUGGGGGGAUCUUUGUCUUGUUUUUUUUACACGUAAGAUUUCCGUAACAUGUACAGCCGUUGCAAAUCAUCUACCGGAUGAAGGCAUGCCCAUGUGACGCUGAUCGUGAUUAUUGGAGUUGUUUGAUUAUCCUGGUCCUCCAUUGCGGCAUUGUUUAU